AUGAAAAUCGGACUUAGUGAUCCGGUGGUUCUGCGUGGAAGGGCCAUCGCUCAACGGAUAAAAGCUACCCUGGGGAUAACAGGCUUAUCUCCCCCAAGAGUCCACAUCGACGGGGAGGUUUGGCACCUCGAUGUCGGCCCAUCACAUCCUGGGGCUGUAGUAGGUCCCAAGGGUUGGGCUGUUCGCCCAUUACAGUGGUACGCGAGCUGGGUUCAGAACGUCGUGAGACAGUUCGGUCCCUAUCCGUCGCAGGCGUAGGCAAUUUG
rnacentral:rRNA from 1 species